CGCGUGAGGAACCUGCCUUCCAGAGGGGGACAACAGUUGGAAACGACUGCUAAUACCGCAUGAUGCAUUUGAAUCGCAUGGUUUGAAUGUCAAAGAUUUAUCGCUGGAAGAUGGCCUCGCGUCUGAUUAGCUAGUUGGUGAGGUAACGGCCCACCAAGGCGACGAUCAGUAGCCGGACUGAGAGGUUGGCCGGCCACAUUGGGACUGAGAUACGGCCCAGACUCCUACGGGAGGCAGCAG
rnacentral:rRNA from 1 species